UACGUAGGGUGCGAGCGUUGUCCGGAAUUACUGGGCGUAAAGCGCACGUAGGCGGAUUUGUAAGUCAGGGGUGAAAUCCCGGGGCUCAACCCCGGAACUGCCUUUGAUACUGCGAAUCUCGAGUCCGGAAGAGGUGAGUGGAAUUCCUAGUGUAGAGGUGAAAUUCGUAGAUAUUAGGAAGAACACCAGUGGCGAAGGCGGCUCACUGGUCCGGUACUGACGCUGAGGUGCGAAAGCGUGGGGAGCAAACAGG
rnacentral:rRNA from 1 species